rnacentral:rRNA from 1 species
GAUGAACGCUGGCGGCGUGCCUAAUACAUGCAAGUCGAGCGAACAGACGAGGAGCUUGCUCCUCUGACGUUAGCGGCGGACGGGUGAGUAACACGUGGAUAACCUACCUAUAAGACUGGGAUAACUUCGGGAAACCGGAGCUAAUACCGGAUAAUAUAUUGAACCGCAUGGUUCAAUAGUGAAAGACGGUUUUGCUGUCACUUAUAGAUGGAUCCGCGCCGCAUUAGCUAGUUGGUAAGGUAACGGCUUACCAAGGCAACGAUGCGUAGCCGAUCUGAGAGGGUGAUCGGCCACACUGGAACUGAGACACGGUCCAGACUCCUACGGGAGGCAGCAGUAGGGAAUCUUCCGCAAUGGGCGAAAGCCUGACGCAGCAACGCCGCGUGAGUGAUGAAGGUCUUCGGAUCGUAAACCUCUGUUAUUAGGGAAGAACAAAUGUGUAAGUAACUAUGCACGUCUUGACGGUACCUAAUCAGAAAGCCACGGCUAACUACGUG